rnacentral:rRNA from 1 species
AUCAGAUGAGCCUAGGUCGGAUUAGCUAGUUGGUGAGGUAAUGGCUCACCAAGGCGACGAUCCGUAACUGGUCUGAGAGGAUGAUCAGUCACACUGGAACUGAGACACGGUCCAGACUCCUACGGGAGGCAGCAGUGGGGAAUAUUGGACAAUGGGCGAAAGCCUGAUCCAGCCAUGCCGCGUGUGUGAAGAAGGUCUUCGGAUUGUAAAGCACUUUAAGUUGGGAGGAAGGGCAGUAAAUUAAUACUUUGCUGUUUUGACGUUACCGACAGAAUAAGCACCGGCUAACUCUGUGCCAGCAGCCGCGGUAAUACAGAGGGUGCAAGCGUUAAUCGGAAUUACUGGGCGUAAAGCGCGCGUAGGUGGUUUGUUAAGUUGGAUGUGAAAUCCCCGGGCUCAACCUGGGAACUGCAUUCAAAACUGACAAGCUAGAGUAUGGUAGAGGGUGGUGGAAUUUCCUGUGUAGCGGUGAAAUGCGUAGAUAUAGGAAGGAACACCAGUGGCGAAGGCGACCACCUGGACUGAUACUGACACUGAGGUGCGAAAGCGUGGGGAGCAAA